UAAAAUCACACUCAGCCACACGCUCACACACGUCUGACAGUGACAAGACAAGGGAUUUUUCUUGUUUUGACGUAUUUUCUAACCUCUUAGAAUGUUAUUAGAAGUCGUAAUAAAAUAAUUUGAAUAUAAAGCUAUGUUUUAAAGUAAAUAAAGACCAUAUUAACGAUGUUAACAUGAUGAGACAUCGAUUCUAUGGAAUGGAGGAGAAGAUUUAACAGCUAGAAAUUAACAAAAAUCCUGCAAGAGCAUCGAGAUCUCGCUUUUGGCGAGUGGAAGUCCAAAGGCAAAGUGCAGCGGUUUGCAGUUUAGCCUCACUUUUUUGGACCUAACAAGACAGGAAAAGAAUAGUCAAAGAGGAAACCCGAGUAGCCAGAUGAUAAUAUAUGAAACCAUGAGCAGCCAGCCAUUGAAACUCUCAGCAAUUUGAAUAACAAUUUU